GGGCGUUAAGUUGCAGGGUAUAGACCCGAAACCCGGUGAUCUAGCCAUGGGCAGGUUGAAGGUUGGGUAACACUAACUGGAGGACCGAACCGACUAAUGUUGAAAAAUUAGCGGAUGACCUGUGGCUGGGGGUGAAAGGCCAAUCAAACCGGGAGAUAGCUGGUUCUCCCCGAAAGCUAUUUAGGUAGCGCCUCGUGAAUUCAUCUCCGGGGGUAGAGCACUGUUUCGGCUAGGGGGCCAUCCCGGCUUACCAACCCGAUGCAAACUGCGAAUACCGGAGAAUGUUAUCACGGGAGACACACGGCGGGUGCUAACGUCCGUCGUGAAGAGGGAAACAACCCAGACCGCCAGCUAAGGUCCCAAAGUCAUGGUUAAGUGGGAAACGAUGUGGGAAGGCCCAGACAGCCAGGAUGUUGGCUUAGAAGCAGCCAUCAUUUAAAGAAAGCGUAAUAGCUCACUGGUCGAGUCGGCCUGCGCGGAAGAUGUAACGGGGCUAAACCAUGCACCGAAGCUGCGGCAGCGACGCUGAUGCGUUGUUGGGUAGGGGAGCGUUCUGUAAGCCUGCGAAGGUGGCCUGUGAGGGUUGCUGGAGGUAUCAGAAGUGCGAAUGCUGACAUAAGUAACGAUAAAGCGGGUGAAAAGCCCGCUCGCCGGAAGACCAAGGGUUCCUGUCCAACGUUAAUCGGGGCAGGGUGAGUCGACCCCUAAGGCGAGGCCGAAAGGCGUAGUCGAUGGGAAACGGGUUAAUAUUCCCGUACUUGGUGUUACUGCGAAGGGGGGACGGAGAAGGCUAUGUUGGCCGGGCGACGGUUGUCCCGGUUUAAGCGUGUAGGUGUGUGUUCCAGGUAAAUCCGGUUCACUUUAACACUGAGGCGUGAUGACGAGGCACUACGGUGCUGAAGCAACAAAUGCCCUGCUUCCAGGAAAAGCCUCUAAGCAUCAGGUAACAUCAAAUCGUACCCCAAACCGACACAGGUGGUCAGGUAGAGAAUACCAAGGCGCUUGAGAGAACUCGGGUGAAGGAACUAGGCAAAAUGGUGCCGUAACUUCGGGAGAAGGCACGCUGACACGUAGGUGAAGUGAUUUACUCAUGGAGCUGAAGUCAGUCGAAGAUACCAGCUGGCUGCAACUGUUUAUUAAAAACACAGCACUGUGCAAACACGAAAGUGGACGUAUACGGUGUGACGCCUGCCCGGUGCCGGAAGGUUAAUUGAUGGGGUCAGCGCAAGCGAAGCUCCUGAUCGAAGCCCCGGUAAACGGCGGCCGUAACUAUAACGGUCCUAAGGUAGCGAAAUUCCUUGUCGGGUAAGUUCCGACCUGCACGAAUGGCGUAAUGAUGGCCAGGCUGUCUCCACCCGAGACUCAGUGAAAUUGAACUCGCUGUGAAGAUGCAGUGUACCCGCGGCAAGACGGAAAGACCCCGUGAACCUUUACUAUAGCUUGACACUGAACAUUGAGCCUUGAUGUGUAGGAUAGGUGGGAGGCUUUGAAGUGUGGACGCCAGUCUGCAUGGAGCCGGCCUUGAAAUACCACCCUUUAAUGUUUGAUGUUCUAACGUGGACCCGUGAUCCGGGUUGCGGACAGUGUCUGGUGGGUAGUUUGACUGGGGCGGUCUCCUCCUAAAGAGUAACGGAGGAGCACGAAGGUUGGCUAAUCCUGGUCGGACAUCAGGAGGUUAGUGCAAUGGCAUAAGCCAGCUUGACUGCGAGCGUGACGGCGCGAGCAGGUGCGAAAGCAGGUCAUAGUGAUCCGGUGGUUCUGAAUGGAAGGGCCAUCGCUCAACGGAUAAAAGGUACUCCGGGGAUAACAGGCUGAUACCGCCCAAGAGUUCAUAUCGACGGCGGUGUUUGGCACCUCGAUGUCGGCUCAUCACAUCCUGGGGCUGAAGUAGGUCCCAAGGGUAUGGCUGUUCGCCAUUUAAAGUGGUACGCGAGCUGGGUUUAGAACGUCGUGAGACAGUUCGGUCCCUAUCUGCCGUGGGCGCUGGAGAACUGAGGGGGGCUGCUCCUAGUACGAGAGGACCGGAGUGGACGCAUCACUGGUGUUCGGGUUGUCAUGCCAAUGGCACUGCCCGGUAGCUAAAUGCGGAAGAGAUAAGUGCUGAAAGCAUCUAAGCACGAAACUUGCCCCGAGAUGAGUUCUCCCUGAGACUUAGAGUCUCCUGAAGGAACGUUGAAGACGACGACGUUGAUAGGCCGGGUGUGUAAGCGCAGCGA
rnacentral:rRNA from 1 species